AUACGAAGGGUGCAAGCGUUAUUCGGAGUUACUGGGCGUAAAGAGUAUGUAGGCGGUUUGUUAAGUUAGUUGUUAAAGACCACGGCUCAACCGUGGAAAGGCAGCUGAUACUGAUGAGCUAGAGCGCAGAAGAGAGGAGUGGAAUUCCCGGAGUAGCGGUAAAAUGCGUAGAUCUCGGGAGGAACACCGGUUGCGAAGGCAGCCCCCUGGGUCAACACUGACGCUCAUGCACGAAAGCGUGGGUAGC
rnacentral:rRNA from 1 species